UUAUAUAGGAAUGCAAAACAAUUAAACACCCCCACCCCGGACUGAUGGUGUGGACAGAAUCGCAGUGUGUACUCUUCUAGAGUGUCAACCCAUGACGAGCAUAGUUCUGAGGUACCCACAGCGAUUACAAAAAUCCAUCAUUGCCAUGCAAUUUAUAUGUGAAAGUCAGAUCUGGUGCCAAUGAUGUGGUUUGAUUAAUUUAACCCCAAAUCUCUGGAAUAUACAUGUAUAUGUUUAAAAACCUCAUGAACAAGCGAAGAAAUAGGAUCAUAAAAAGGCAGUCUAUGGAGAUAAGAUGCAGUUCAUGGCAGUCCUUAUUCCAAUUGGUCAAGGAUUAUGUGUAUGCUGCAGAAACAAAUGAAUUUGGCUCUAAUCAUCACAACAGAGUCUGUCAAAAGGGAGACAUAAAACAGAAAAUAGUGUUGAGGAAAAUGAUGAGAACAGUCCAGUGAAUACCCAGACCAGCAAGACAGUCAGACAUACAAUGCUAGAUGAACAAAUAAUAAACAAACUGAACUCGCUAAAAUAUUGAGCAAUUCAACAAUAAUUUAUUGUCACUUUGUUGUGUAUUUUUAUUUUAUUUUCAUGAUUCGGAAUAUAUUUUGAAUAUUAAUUUGAAGAAUU